CACGUAGUUAGCCGGAGCUUCCUCCUCUGCUACCGUCAUCAUCUUCACAGAGGACAGAGGUUUACAAUCCGAAAACCGUCUUCCCUCACGCGGCGUUGCUGGUUCAGGGUUUCCCCCAUUGACCAAUAUCCCUCACUGCUGCCUCCCGUAGGAGUCUGGGCCGUGUCUCAGUCCCAAUGUGGCCGUUCAACCUCUCAGUCCGGCUACCGAUCGUCGGCUUGGUGGGCCGUUACCCCGCCAACUACCUAAUCGGACGCGAGCCCAUCUUUCAGCGGAUUGCUCCUUUGAUUAUCAGGCAAUGCUGCCCAAUAAUAUCAUGCGGUAUUAGCGUUCGUUUCCAAACGUUAUCCCCCUCUGAAAGGUAGGUUGCUCACGCGUUACUCACCCGUCCGCCACUAAGCUAAACAAGAUUCAAUAGCAAGCUACGUCCUCAGCAUCUAGCUCCGUUCGACUUGCAUGUGUUAGGCACGCCGCCAGCGUUCGUCCUGAGCCAGGAUCAAACU
rnacentral:rRNA from 1 species